AUCUUAUCAAGAGAGGUGGAGGGACUGGCCCUAUGAAACCCGACAACCGGCAUUUAAUGGAAAAUGUGGCGGUGUUAAUUCCAGCAGAGGUUUUCUGAAAGAUAAGAG
rnacentral:ncRNA from 2 species